UACGUAGGGGGCAAGCGUUGUCCGGAAUCAUUGGGCGUAAAGAGCGUGUAGGCGGCCAGACAGGUCCGUUGUGAAAACUCGAGGCUCAACCUCGAGACGCCGAUGGAAACCGUCUGGCUAGAGUCCGGAAGAGGAGAGUGGAAUUCCUGGUGUAGCGGUGAAAUGCGCAGAUAUCAGGAAGAACACCCGUGGCUAAGGCGGCUCUCUAGUACGGUACUGACGCUGAGACGCGAAAGCGUGGGGAGCAAACAGG
rnacentral:rRNA from 1 species